GGCCCACAGCGGGCGACCUUGGGAGGGGCUGGGGGCUGUGUGCCUGCAGCCUGCUGCUUCACCUUUCUGUCUCCGAGGGCCUUACUUUGUCUGCCCUCUCCUGUCUGCCUCCUUGUCUCUGUCUCCUUUUCUUCAUCUUACUCCACCUCCCCGACUACCUUCAAUCCUGUGUUUCUCUCUUAUCAGAUUGCCGCAGUCUAUGUUGUUAGCUACGGAAGGUCUGAGUUAGAAGGAAUUGUGGGGGCCACCUGUAAAAACUCUCCACCAUCUGUCCUUUCUGCCACCCUGUCAAUACCUGGGCAGGGACCUAAUCUACACCCGCUCCCCCAGAAUAGUCCUUGGAACAAGGAUGACCCCCACCCUGCCCACCGCUGUGGCGGUCCAUCCUCCCUGGGGCAGUUUUUGCUAGCAGAAUGUUCUCUCCUUCCUGGGGCUGGGAAUGCUCUUUCUGUUAUGUCUGCUUCUCGGUCUUAUCCCUACCUGCUGGAGGCUGAAAACAAGCUGCGCUCUCCUCCCCAAGCUCCAGGUACUUGAAGGCCAUUCUUGCCUUCUCUUCUCCAGCUAAAUGUGCUGAGCUGCACUUGACAACUUGAGGUUUCCAGCUGGGUCUCCUCCACUCAGGGACUUCUCUGUAACACCCGUGGUAGUUUGACCCCACGGUAACUUCUGUUGUUUUAAUCUGUUAGUUUUCCCCCUGUUUUUCUUACAGCACCCCUACCUCUUCAGGAGGCUUCCCUUCCUUGAUUCUAUCAGGGUCUGGAGGGGUGGCCAAGUAGCCCACUUGCCCAGGCCACAGAGGCAGCACACAAUGAGGCCUGGCCAGCUGCAGCCCUCCAUCCCCUGGCACCGUGAUUGGCUCAGGGAUGAGCCUGUUGCAUGUGCGGGGCCAAUCAGAGUGCCUCCCUGGCCUUUGCCUUGUGGCCCCAAGGUGGUAGAACUGAGACGGUGCCAGGUGGACAGUGUGUCUACCCCUUCGCACUCCACUGUAUCUGUCUGCAGUAGGAGGAAAUGUGCCCCACCCCCAGAAAGAAGCAGACCCAGAUAUGGCAGGGAUUGUGAAUGGGAAGGUGGCUACAGCCGGGGAAAAGCGGUGAAACCAGGUGAGAGGCAAGGAAGGGCUGGGAGAUGGCUUUUCUCCAGAGGAGGUGAAAGACGAGGGGCCAGCUUGGGUGAUAAGAGGGCUGUGACUGCGAGUGCCAUCCCAUACCGCGUGUCCUCACCAGCCUACGAAAGUCAGAGUGCAGAGGAGCACCUGCACAGAGAUGACAAGGGACCAGGUCUGUGAGCUCUGUCUCCACGACCUGCUACUCCCCCACUGUGGCCUGAGCCUCCUGUCCCUGCUUCUCCCUCACCUCUCUUUGCCCAGGGUCAGCCCCAAGGACAGCUAAGCUGUUUUCCCUGCUUGGUCAACAAGUGGAGUCUUGCUGCGCCCUGCUCAGCCCCAGAAGUGUCAGUCAGCCUGAAAACCCCAGGGACCAGCCCCAGCCCCCACAACUGGACCAUCACCCUGGGGAGCAGGUGAAGCCGUUAAGGGUGAUGGCAUGGGGCAGCGGUGGACCUGCUCAGCCCAGUGUCAGAGCUGCUUAGCGGUGUUCUGUCCUGGCAGCUCUGGAGCCAUGGAGGCCACGGGGCCUGAAGUUCAGUUUGCCCCGCUCUGAGUAUGAGAACAGGCCAUGCCAGUUAAAGUUCCAAAUACAGGCUGGGCACGGUGGCUCAUGCCUGUAAUCCCAACACUUUGGGAAGCCGAGACGGGCGGAUCACGAGGUCAGGAGAUCGAGACCAUCCUGGCUAACACGGUGAAACCCUGUCUCUACUAAAAAUACAAGUUAGCCGGGCGUGGUGGCGGGCACCUGUAGUCCCAGCUACACGGGAGGCUGAGGCAGGAGAAUGGUAUGAACCCGGGAGGCGGAGCUUGCAGUGAGUGGAGAUUGCAUCACUGCACUCCAGCCUGGGCGACAGAGCGAGACUCCGUCUCAAAAAAAAAAAAAAAAAAA
ensembl:lncRNA